CUGACAACAAGUAGAAGAUGCAGCUACUUAUUUUAUUUCUCUCUUUUCUGCCAGGAAUGACUGAUAUUAGACAGGACAACAAAAAUGACUUCAAGGGAGUUGAUAUCUAAGAGGGACAGAGAUUGGGUUUGGGAGAUAGAGAUUGAGGACUGGAGGAGGAAGUCUUGGAGAAAUGACCCUCUGCCUCCCUUCUUGAUCUUAGCUGUUACUGAGAGACAGCUUGAACCAGAGAGAUUUAAGGGUUCACUGGAAGAUAGUCAGUGUCCAGAAGGAUCCUCCAUUUCAGAGGGCUUCCUUUCAGACCGUCCACUCCAGGAGAGAACUGACCAGAAGUAAGUUGGAAGUUUUUAAUUCUCCCAGCUCAUUUGUUCCUUCCUGGAAUCCUGAGUCUU
rnacentral:lncRNA from 1 species